rnacentral:rRNA from 1 species
AAUACUUGAUUGAAACUUCGGUCGAUUGAUAGUAUGGAGAGCGGCGGACGGGUGAGUAACGCGUAGGCAACCUGCCUUAUGCAGAGGGAUAGCCAUUGGAAACGAUGAUUAAAACCUCAUAAUGCCAAGAGUUCACAUGUACUUUUGGCCAAAGAUUUAUCGGCAUAAGAUGGGCCUGCGUCUGAUUAGCUAGUUGGUGAGGUAACGGCUCACCAAGGCGACGAUCAGUAGCCGACCUGAGAGGGUGAUCGGCCACAUUGGAACUGAGACACGGUCCAAACUCCUACGGGAGGCAGCAGUGGGGAAUAUUGCACAAUGGGCGAAAGCCUGAUGCAGCAACGCCGCGUGAGCGAUGAAGGUCUUCGGAUCGUAAAGCUCUGUCCUUGGGGAAGAUAAUGACGGUACCCUUGGAGGAAGCCCCGGCUAACUACGUGCCAGCAGCCGCGGUAAUACGUAGGGGGCAAGCGUUAUCCGGAAUUAUUGGGCGUAAAGAGUGCGUAGGUGGUUACCUAAGCAGGGGGUGAAAGGCUAUGGCUUAACCAUAGUUAGCCCCCUGAACUGGGCUACUUGAGUGCAGGAGAGGAAAGCGGAAUUCCUAGUGUAGCGGUGAAAUGCGUAGAUAUUAGGAGGAACACCAGUGGCGAAGGCGGCUUU